rnacentral:lncRNA from 1 species
AGGAAGGAAGAAGGGAAGGAGAGGAAGAAGAGAAGGGGAAGAAGGGGCUGCGGUUGCGGCGAUGGCAGCUGCAGUUGGAAGAGAAGAAGGAGAGGAAGAUGAGUAGGGGAGGAAGAAGAGGUUGCGGCAUGGCUGAGGCUGCGACUGCAGCAGUGCAGCUGGGAAAGAAGAGAAGGAAAGGAAGAAGAAGAGAAAGGAAAAGGGAAGAAGAGAGGAAGAGGAGAAGGGAAGGCAGCUGCGGCAGUGGCAGUUGCAGCUGGAAAAGAGGAGAGGAAACAGAGCAGGGGAGGAAGAAGAGGCUGCGGUUGUGGUGGCUGC